GCACUCUGGUUUCUCUACAUAUUUUCGCAUAUAUCUUUCGCCUUUUACUAAAGAUAUCCGUGUAGGGRAACAUUAUAAAGAGUUAGUGGAUCAAUUUUUCCAACUGCUCCGUCUAAGAGACGG